GGAGGAGGAGGGAGGGCCGGAGCAGCCGGAGGAGGAGGGAGGGCCGGAGCAGCUAGAGCAGGUGAGCAGGUGAGCAGCAGAGGGCGACCGGGAGAGGGAGAGGGCGGCGACCGGGAUAGGGAGAGGGAGACCGGGAGAGGGAGAGGAGGCAGACCGGGAGAGGGAGAGGGCGACCGGGAGACCGGGAGAGGAGGCGGAGGCGGACGAGAUUAUCUCGUCCGCUAAAGAUAAUAAUCUCGUCGGCUAAUAUAAUAAUCUCGUCGGCUAAGAUCAAAUUCGUCGGCUAAAAAUAAUUUCGUCGGCUAAAGAUAAUAAUCUCGUCGGCUAAGAUAAUAAUCUCGUCGGCUAAGAUCAAAUUCGUCGGCUAAACCUUAGAAAUUCGUCGGCUAAAUCUUUGAAAUUCGUCGCCUAAACCUUUGAACUUCGUCGGCUAUAGUAAUUUUUAUACAUUCGGUAAAUUGUGAUUGUGAUGAUUAAACUUGAGAAACGAAAAUCCGACCGUCAGAUCUGACCAUCAUGAUAAAAUACAUGUAUGGGAAAAAAUUCAACUUGAUCCGACAAGGAUAAGGGCUCGAUCCGGACGGUCAAUCCGUUAAGUUAAACACCUAAACGUACGGAAAAGGUCAUUGGACCGUCUAAAUUACGUAUUUUGGCCGGACCUUCAACUGAAAAUAGUUUCAAACCGUUGAGACGCAACAAGUCAUAUAAAAAUUUUACACAAGAUAACCACCGAAAAUAAAGCUACUCAUAGGGAGAAAGAAUGAAAAACUGCGGCACUGAAACUUUACCGAAAUACUGUGAUUUUUCAACCGUGGACGUAUUUUACCAUUCUGGUCAUAUCUUAUUCACGACUUUUUGCGUUUGAAGGUUUACGUAUAGUUUGUUUUUGAAACGAAACAUUUACUUAACACUUGGUAAACAAGUUAUACAACAUUAGUAGGCAUGUUAUGAUUGUGAUUAUCAAACUUGAGAAACGGAAAUCUGACCGUCAGAUCUGACCAUCAUGACAAAAUACAUGUAUGAGCAAAAAUUCAACUUGAUCCGGCAAGGUUAAGGGCUCGAUCCGGAAGGUCAAUCCCGUAAGUCAAACCCCUAAAUGCACGGAAAAGGUCGUUGGACAGUCUAAAUUUCGUAUUUUGGCCGGACCUUCAACUGAAAAUAGUUUCAAAUCAAUGAGACGCAACAAGUCGUAUAAAAUUUUACGGAAAUAAUCACCGAAGAUAGGGCUAUAGUAUGUAAUAGAAAAAUUUUAGGGUUUAGCCGAUGAAUACCCUAAUAUAUUCGUCGGCUAUAAUAUGUAAUAAAU
rnacentral:lncRNA from 1 species